UACGAGGGGGGCGAGCGUUGUUCGGAUUCACUGGGCGUAAAGGGUGCGUAGGCGGCCGGGUAAGUCUGAUGUGAAAUCUCACAGCUUAACUGUGAAACUGCAUUGGAUACUAUCCGGCUCGAGGAAUGGAGGGGAGACUGGAAUACUUGGUGUAGCAGUGAAAUGCGUAGAUAUCAAGUGGAACACCAGUGGCGAAGGCGAGUCUCUGGACAUUUCCUGACGCUGAGGCACGAAAGCCAGGGGAGCAAACGGG
rnacentral:rRNA from 1 species